GAUGAAGAACGUAGCGAAAUGCGAUAAGUAAUGUGAAUUGCAGAAUUCAGUGAAUCAUCGAGUCUUUGAACGCACAUUGCGCCCCCUGGUAUUCCGGGGGCAUGCCUGUCCGAGCGUCAUUGCUGCCCUCAAGCACGGCUUGUGUGUUGGGCCGCCGUCCCCGGUUUCCCCCGGGGACGGGCCCGAAAGGCAGCGGCGGCACCGCGUCCGAUCCUCGAGCGUAUGGGGCUUUGUCACCCGCUCUGUAGGCCCGGCCGGCGCCAGCCGACACCCAACUUUAUUUCUAAGGUUGACCUCGGAUCAGGUAGGGAUACCCGCUGAACUUAAGCAUAUCAAUAAGCGGAGGA
rnacentral:misc_RNA from 1 species